AGUAAUGCGUGACCAACCUGCCCCAUGCUCCAGAAUAGCUCUUGGAAACGGGUGGUAAUGCUGAUGCUCCAACUUGACGCAUGUCUUGUUGGGAAAGUGUUUAGUGGCAUGGGAUGGGGUCGCGUCCUAUCAGCUUGUAGGCGGGGUAAUGGCCCACCUAGGCUUCGACGGGUAGCCGGCCUGAGAGGGCGGACGGCCACAUUGGGACUGAGAUACGGCCCAGACUCCUACGGGAGGCAGCAGCC
rnacentral:rRNA from 1 species